UCUCACUGGGCACCAGGGCAUCGCUCGCAGGCUGGGAGGGGCCGUGGGCUCCCGCGGUUGGGGUGAGAGCUGAGGUCGUGGGGGACGAGUCAGGUAAAUUCUCUAGUAGCCAGGGAGGAGUGAGAUGGGGUUGGACUCGCCCAGCGUGGCCCUGGGUGUUUGGGGGGGGCCUCUGGAGCUGUUCUCUUUCCAGGUAUGGAGACGCCUUUCCGCAGCUUAGACCCUACCAGGGAUGUCGGAGCUUUCGCCUAGGACACGUCGAGAUUUGACUCCCCCUACCCCUGGGGAACAAGGGCAGGGAGUUUGUUUCCUGUCAGUUCCUGGGAGAAGUCUGGCGCAAGGGUCCUAGGACAUUACAAAGCUGGGAAACUUGGGCUUCAUUUUAGGAGCUCUCUUCCCUGUUCUCAGGCCCUGGAGGACACUUUCAAUUAGGCCCACAGACUCAGAAUAUCAGAACAACCAAUUGUAUCUCCCUGCUCCCCUCACACGCGCGCGUGCGCGCGCGUGCACACACGCACACGCACACAGAUGCACACCGCCACAUUCUCCCACUUGUAUACACAGCUCACUAUUCAUUUUGAUGCAGCAACUAUUCUCUCUGGUCUGCAGAGAAUGUCAGAUGAAGGAAGAGCCAUUCACUCCUGCUCUUGUCUCCUGAGUCCGGCUGCCUUUUCCUGAAGGGGUUUAAGAGGAACAGGCCCCAGCUGGGCAGCUGGCUGUGACUCCAGCUCCAGUUCUGGGGCUUCCUACAAGCCACUCCAUAGAUCCUGAGUUGGACGCGAUUCUCCAGACAUCUGGGAAUCCACUGUUGCAUUCCAUUUUGGGAAAAGAGAAAGGGGACCUUUGGGGUCAUUUCAUGCCUUUCCUCCCAGUAGGAGCUCAGCCAGACUGAUGAGUCCCCCUGUACCUGGGAGCCUGGUGGGGUGUUUGUACUGGAAGAGUCACAGUGUCUUGGUGAGGGAUACUGGGGGACCCUGCCUCUCUAGGACCGUAUCCACUUCUGACCGUGCAUCUGUGAACAGGCCAGAUGUCCAGAGGGUAGCAAACGAUCAAAGCGAAAGUGGGCGCAUUCUGGAAUAUAUAAGCUGGGAGCGGUUCUGCACCCUUUGGUCUCAGGCGCUUUGGUAGGCAGCCAGGCUUGGACUUGUCUUCGGGUCCCAGUGUGUAUGCAGACUUAUCCCUAAGUUAAGGCACCACACAUAUAUCAUCCAAUCCAUCUGCUGCUCUCUAAGCCCCCUGGGCUUCUGGCAAGAUUGGGACCCAUCAGGCUAGGCUCAGGCUUUUAUCUGCCCAGAUUCUGGGUUUGUUCUGACUAAUGUUAAGUGUCGCCCAAUAAAACCUUCCCUGAUUCCCCACACACCCAAUUCUCCCCCACACCCAGUGCGUCCUUUCUCUCCUGACUUUUUAGCAGUCCUGGGUAAAUAUUGGUUUGCCCCCAGUUUACCUUUUCACUGACUGGCCAUUUGCAGACUAAGGAACAAACCUCUGGGAAGACUUGAUUUUUGUGUUCCUUUGGAGCCCUAUUCAUCCUUCCCGUUGACUCCUUCCUCCCUCUAAGUGGUAUUGUAAAACUCCACGGUGACAAAGAGACCAAGUAGGGUUCCAGGCUCCAGUCCUCGCAGACUUGAGGGCUUGAGGGCAGUUUACAUACAGGUCAGACGCGGCUGGAGGCCAAGGUCAAGUUGAAAGUUGCUGUCUAGUCAGCGUGAGAAACCUCAAUGAAAGCCUGGGGUCUGGGGGCAGCAGGGAGGCCGACCGCCCACCUCCCCUCACUCUCCAGUCCACGAUCCUUUGCUUUUCUAGUCUCUGGCUCUGUUUGGCUCCUCAACACCAUUUUUUGCUCUUUGUAGAGUUUUGGGGGCGGUGUUUUACGGACUGGACUGAUUCUUCUCUGCCGCUGCCCUGCUCUUAGCUGGGUUUUUGAGCCUCCGAAGUUUUCCAACUAGAUUCGGAAAAACGAAAACACAGCUCGGGAAGCCUCCACCAGCAGAUUCCUGUGCCAGUUCGCCUCUGGCAAUGGCAGGACUGCUGGUCCACACAGCAGCCAAGACCGGCUCCACAUUCUUCCCUCCCCCUCAUUUCUCUGGAGCCGGGAGCCUUGCACUCAGAGGAAGGGCCUCAGCUCUACAGACUGCCAAAGUCGGCUGGGUCGCUCCACUCCAAAAAUGGUGAGAAAGGAUCUCAUCUUUUCCGCAGAGGAGCCAGAAACAGAGUGAAGCAAUAAUGAAGUCAAGGACAGGUCUGGUGCCGUGGGGGUAAUUUUGGAACAUGGGAAAUAACUCUGGGCUACGGUGACCAAAGGCUUAGAAAAGUGGAAGUGGGAAGUCAGGGAAGAAAACCACAGACCUUGCCCCUAAGAUCACCUAAGAUCACCUCAGGAUGGACUUUGAAGAGAGCAAAAUAUUGGAUAAGUGGCCUAUUCACUGCCUGCCAGAUUGAACCAGGUACAGCGAAACCAGCCGGGAGCCAGCCACGGGGAAAGAGGCUUACACAAGGAAAGAUAGCAGAAACUCAGAGAGGACCCCAGUUACAUCACUGGCCUGUUUUUUUACAGUUCCAAAGAAGAGAGAGAGGGCAGCUCCUCCACACCCCCAUUUUAGAAGAACCAGCAGCGGGGCUCAGGCAGCGGUGAGGAGCAAUCUUCUGCACCCUGAGCUUAGAUGGUGGCAGGAGCCUCCCCUGUCCUAAAGGCGGCGGCUGCGUCACUGCGCCGCCCUCCACCAGAUCUGGAAACUCAGCCUUCACCUAAGGACUCGAAUGUGAGUUGGAGGCACAGGGACCGAGUUCCAGUAAAUAGAGGCUCAAUCUGAAGGAGGACGCUCCUUUCCACAGGGAGUGGCAGGCAGCCAGGACAGGGACCAGCUUGUGGGACUGCGGGGGGGCCCAAGCCACUUUGGGAGUGAGCUCGCUGCCACUGGGACCGAGUGCUGGCAGAAUUCGGUACCUCCUGGUAACCCAGCGCCUGAAGCUGCCACGUGAAAAGGACCAGGACGCUGUACCCGACGCCACCAGCCCCCACUCCAACCCUAGGUUGGAUGCUCACUGCUCGCUACAAAACAGGAAGCCAGCGCCGGGUUGUGGAUUCUUUAUGUCAACAAAUACACCGAAGACGUUCAAGAGUUCGGAGGAAGUAGGGCUUUUGCACGUAAGCCUGGUCCUUUUGGGCUCGGUGUUUCUCUAUGAGAAAUUAGCUAGGAGAUCUGGGCCCACAGGAGUCCUUCCCUGUAAGGACUGGUCCCACGCUCCUGAUCUGGUUGUGGAGUCUUAAUAGGCAAAGCCACAGAGGGGUGGAAACUCACCACCAAGGAGAAAGGGGAAACUCAAGACCCCUUCAUUCAAGUACACACUGAGGUGUAAUCAGAUUUUACAGGCACGGUAUAUACUGUAAUCAUAACGAUGUGUGCCUUCAUACGCACGCACAGGCACACGCGUAGUGAAUGCAUGUCUGAUAUGUUGUUGGCGAAAUACAGUCAUUAUACCAAGUCCUAAGGGGGAAAAAUCACCUUGUCAAAUCAGCCUGGUGGCCGAAGUGUCUUCUCCGGUCCCAUUCCGAUUUCUCAGACCACCGGCCAUCCCUCCUGUCUCUGUAAAUACUGUAAAUACACCUGUCUUCACUGAAGGUCAGGCGGCCCUCAGCAUUUAUCUGGUUCGGAUGUCCUCCCCUAGAAUCUUUAUGUAGCUCCGAACCCCACUGAGCAGUCUCAAGCUGGUGAGGGAGCCUCUGGCUUGCAAUCCCUUUGUCUGCGGGACUGGAGCCUGCGUGGCCCAAUGCUCCGAGAAAUGGAGAAGCUCAAUAAGAACUUUUGAUAUUAGUUUUUAUAGGUAUUUACACUCGGGUGAGGGUAGCUGGGUACGGAAGCUUCGCUAAUCAGCCCCCGACCUUGGGUUUGGAUAGUCUGCUUAUGGGCUGGGAUAAAAAAGAGCUGGCCUGGAGAGGAAAGAAAGCAUGUCGGAAAGAAAGAAAAUACGCAAGGUCUUUCUGUUUCUGGAAACCGAGGAGUACGUGGGCAAUUCCAGGGGCUGCACAGCUGACCACUUUUCCCCCCUCCCUUGCAGGGAAAACAUUUUUCUUUGCCUAAUACAAUUAAAAUUAUGAUUUAAAAUAUAAUUUCCCUGAAUAGACACAAAAGUGUAAAAAGCCCUGCUAUGCCCAGCUUACCUUUAACCUUAUGAUUAUUUACCUUGCACUCUUUUUUUGAAUAUUUAAAAUUAAAUUAAAUUCCAGGCAUUGAACUGCUUUACUCACACUAGAAGGUUUUGAGAAUAUUUCAAGAUUGAGAAAAGGGAGUUGUUUCAGUUUUGGACUGGGGAAAAAAACAAACAAACACAAAACAAAAAACAAAAAAAAACCCAAAAAACAAACAAACAAACAAAAACGCCCAAGGUUUCACUGAGAAGGAACCUGGAACAAAACGAUUUGGGAUCUUAUCUGAAAUUGUAUGUGUCUUCUUUUUAAAAAUUACACAUGCCUAAGGGGACUUAUAUCAACCUUUUCUGUGAGUCACCCCUUCACUGAAGAUUUCAGUCAUUCCCUUAAGAUUAGGGUGUGUGUGAGAACUAUAACCCAGUACUGCUUAUGUCCUAAACUGAUACAUUUUCAUUUUGAGCAAAUGACUAUUUCCUAUUUCAAAACAUUCCCUUCCCUGUAGAAACUCCAAAGAAAAUUCUAAUGAUUAAACUAUGAGGAGAGAGUUGUACUGGAUUGAUACCAAAGUUAUCAUGGUUUUCAGAAGAAACACAGUUCUGUGUACUUUAAAAAAUAUCCCUUCUACAACAAGAGAUUUAAAAAAAAAAGUGAAUAAAGGCAUUGCUGUUUUAUUCA